rnacentral:rRNA from 1 species
GCGUGCGGGAUGACGGCCUUCGGGUUGUAAACCGCUUUCGCCUGUGACGAAGCGUGAGUGACGGUAAUGGGUAAAGAAGCACCGGCUAACUACGUGCCAGCAGCCGCGGUGAUACGUAGGGUGCGAGCGUUGUCCGGAUUUAUUGGGCGUAAAGGGCUCGUAGGUGGUUGAUCGCGUCGGAAGUGUAAUCUUGGGGCUUAACCCUGAGCGUGCUUUCGAUACGGGUUGACUUGAGGAAGGUAGGGGAGAAUGGAAUUCCUGGUGGAGCGGUGGAAUGCGCAGAUAUCAGGAGGAACACCAGUGGCGAAGGCGGUUCUCUGGGCCUUUCCUGACGCUGAGGAGCGAAAGCGUGGGGAGCGAACAGGCUUAGAUACCCUGGUAGUCCACGCUGUAAACGGUGGGUAAUAGGUGUGGGGUCCAUUCCACGGGAUCCGUGCCGUAGCUACGCCUUAAGUACCCCCGCCUGGGGAGUACGGCCGCAAAGCUAAAACUCAAAGGAAUUGACGGGGCCCCGCACAAGCGGCGGAGCAUGCGGAUUAAUUCGAUGCAACGCGUAGAACCUUACCUGGGUUUGACAUGGAUCGGGAGUGCUCAGAGAUGGGUGUGCCUCUUUUGGGGUCGGUUCACAGGUGGUGCAUGGCUGUCGUCAGCUCGUGUCGUGAGAUGUUGGGUUAAGUCCCGCAACGAGCGCAACCCUUGUUCACUGUUGCCAGCACGUUAUGGUGGGGACUCAGUGGAGACCGCCGGGGUCAACUCGGAGGAAGGUGGGGAUGACGUCAAGUCAUCAUGCCCCUUAUGUCCAGGGCUUCACGCAUGCUACAAUGGCUGGUACAGAGAGUGGCGAGCCUGUGAGGGUGAGCGAAUCUCGGAAAGCCGGUCUCAGUUCGGAUUGGGGUCUGCAACUCGACCUCAUGAAGUCGGAGUCGCUAGUAAUCGCAGAUCAGCAACGCUGCGGUGAAUACGUUCCCGGGGCUUGUACUCACCGCCCGUCAAG